UUCCUGGAAGACUAGUGGUUAGGCCUCUGCACUCUCGCUGCUGUGGACAGCGUUCGAUUCCAGGCCAGGGAA